rnacentral:rRNA from 1 species
UUUAAGAUGAGAGUUCGAUCCUGGCUCAGGAUGAACGCUGGCGGCGUGCCUAACACAUGCAAGUCGAACGAGUGAGAGAUGAAACCUAGUGAUUCUCGAGCGAGUGGCGGACGGGUGAG